rnacentral:misc_RNA from 1 species
UCCGAGUUGUCCCCGGCAGUCCUCUUAGAGUCCCCGGCAUUACCCGCUGGCAACUAAGAGCAGGGGUUGCGCUCGUUGCGGCACUUAAGCCAACACCUCACGGCACGAGCUGACGACAGCCAUGCAGCACCUGUGUACAUUCCCGAUUUGACGGGUCGUUCCCCUUUCGGGGUUCUACUUCGUACAUGUCAAGCCUAGGUAAGGUUCUUCGCGUUGCGUCGAAUUAAACCACAUGCUCCACCGCUUGUGCGGGCCCCCGUCAAUUCCUUUGAGUUUCAACCUUGCGGUCGUACUCCCCAGGCGGGGUACUUCCUGCGUUAGCGCCGGCACCCAGAGGGUCGCUCCCCCAGGCACCUAGUACCCAUCGUUUACGGCGUGGACUAC